rnacentral:tRNA from 1 species
GCUGGUGUGGCUCAGUGGACAGAGCACAGGCCUAGGGCCUGAAGAGAACCGGUUCCAUUCCGGCCAAGGGCA